GACGAACGCUGGCGGCGUGCUUAACACAUGCAAGUCGAACGGAAAGGCCCUGCUUUUGUGGGGUGCUCGAGUGGCGAACGGGUGAGUAACACGUGAGUAACCUGACCUUGACUUUGGGAUAACUUCAGGAAACUGGGGCUAAUCCCGGAUAGGAGCUCCUGCUGCAUGGUGGGGGUUGGAAAGUUUCGGCGGUUGGGGAUGGACUCGCGGCUUAUCAGCUUGUUGGUGGGGUAGUGGCUUACCAAGGCUUUGACGGGUAGCCGGCCUGAGAGGGUGACCGGCCACAUUGGGACUGAGAUACGGCCCAGACUCCUACGGGAGGCAGCAGGGGGGAAUAUUGCACAAUGGGCGGAAGCCGGAUGCAGCAACGCCGCGUGCGGGAUGACGGCCUUCGGGUUGUAAACCGCUUUCGCCUGUGACGAAGCGUGAGUGACGGUAAUGGGUAAAGAAGCACCGGCUAACUACGUG
rnacentral:rRNA from 1 species